rnacentral:rRNA from 1 species
UACGUAGGGGGCAAGCGUUGUCCGGAAUCAUUGGGCGUAAAGAGCGCGUAGGCGGCCCGAUAAGUCCGCUGUGAAAGUCAAGGGCUUAACCCUUGAAUGCCGGUGGAAACUGUCGGGCUAGAGUCCGGAAGAGGCGAGUGGAAUUCCUGGUGUAGCGGUGGAAUGCGUAGAGAUCCGGAAGAACACCGGUGGCGAAGGCGGCCUGCUGGGCAGUAGCUGACACUGAGGCGCGACAGCGUGGGGAGCAAACAGG